ensembl:lncRNA novel transcript
GGGCUCUUCUCGGGGAGUGGAGUGCUAUGACAGAUGAGACUUUCAUGCAAGAAAAUAAAUCCUGCACAUUUGAUGUACUGCUUUAAACUUAAAGACCUCUUUGGACCCGAAAUUGUAAGACUUGUGGUUUUGUCACAAGGAGAUAAUAUUUUCAGCAAAAAAUAUAAACUUUCCCUCAAGACACAAAUUAGAAAAUAUGGUGGUGCGGUCCCUGGUGAGGAAGCCAUCCUUCCAGGCCCAGAAUUUCCUGCCCUGUCCAUUUCCAACUUAUCAUAAAUACUUUCCUGACCCCUAAAAUGCAGGACACUGAUCAACUCAGUUAAGAAGUUUUUAUUUCAAGCCUGCUGGGCUUUACAAAGGACUGCAUUUGACUCUGGGCAUGGAUUCAAAGUCCUUUUGAAUAAAUGACCUGCUUAUCUAGCUGUCAAAAUGUGGACCUCACUGGCACUCUUAACUAUAGCCCUGAUUCAAGUUUAUGUGCCAGAAACGGAACUUCUGUCUUUCAAAUUCAACAAGGUCUUCAGACCAUGGCCGCCUUGCACAAUAUGGACCAGCAGUUGCUAUUAGAGCAACUAAGGGUAUUUACGGUUUAUUCAAAUAAUGUAGUGCAAAGAAUAGGAGGUUUGAAAGCCUGGCGAGGAGUGGAAGAAUUGACUUCCAUAAAUCUAGGGCCCUAAAAAUACCUUUUUUGUUCAAGCGUUGGAAAGAAUUUUGUCGACCUUUCUGCUUCAUUGGCAUUUCUUUACGUUUUCCUGGUAACCAGAGACAAGUUGCACAAUCGGUGUGGCAUUUGGCUCCUGAUUCUGGGGGAGAGGGAGCGCUGUCUGCUUUUUCAGCAGGCCCAGCACAGUGGAGCGCGGAGCAUUCAGCACUGGGGGAGCCUGCCAGCAGCUGGCCCUGCCAAACUAAACAGGAAUCAGCGCGGACAAAGGGAAGAUUAUGUGGUGGAAAAAGGAUACCCCGAAUUAAGGCAGGAAAGCCACGUCAAUUAUAUUUGGAAGCGGUGUCUCUCCCCCGGGUUACAAAGCCGUGUCUCUAAGAUUUCUGAGGAUGUUGCUGUUUCACCGAAAGCUCACCCACAAAAGGUCAGUGGGUGGAGUUCAAACAAAAUGCUUUUUCUCUUAUGACUUCCUGUGGAUCUUGAUAUCUCGCCACAAGUCUUUCUGCCACCACUGUGCCCUUCCAUGCACACUAGUCACAGCAGGAGGAGGACAGGAACGCGCGCCAGGAGCGGAUUAGGGGACGUGAGCAGGCGACCCUGGCAGAGGUUCUCCGCGCAGUGGCCCGCGGUGGGCUGGGCGUGCUGAGCACUGCGUCCCUGCUUCAGUCCUGAUCUCAGCGGAAGAAAAAUAAAAACACAACAAAACUCAAACCAACAAAACACCUGGGAUUUCCCGGCCACCAGCCCCAGUGAGUGCCCCCACAGGAUAAGCUCUUACUAACUCCUCCUGGUGGCCCCAGGCUGACCUCUGCAAGGUUACUGUUGGGAGUUGAAGGCAAAGCGGCCUGGCCCACUGCUGGUGAUACCCAGGCUAGGCUAAGUCUCCUGAGGACACGUGGAGGCUCAGCGCAGGCGCAGGAGCAGCGCGGGGCUGGGAGAACUGGCAAAGCCACCUGCGGUGCUGUGCCCAGGGAGUCCAUGAUUCUUCUCUCCUCCUGUCUCCUUUUUCAAAAUGCAAAAUAAAAUGAGAAAUUUUGUUUUUAACAAUAAAAGUAACAAAUAUAUCAUCACCAAGAUGUUUAGAUGUUAGUAUUACUGGAAACAACUUGCUUUUUUUUCUCCUUAAAUAAGUAAGACUUUGAAGAUACAGUAAGGCCCCACCUUCAUCCCUCCCCUCCCCAGAGUGAACCUCCUUAAAUUUGUCUAUAUUGUUCCCACGUGAUUUUUCUUAUUUUUUCCAUGCAUAGUUUUAUUUAAAUAUGAUCUUGCAUGGUUUUUAAAUUUAUGUAAAUGAUAUCCUUUAAAUAUCUUUUUACAAUUUACAUUUUGCACUUAACCGGCCACUUUAGGAAUUUAUCAUUGUGAAUAUCAAUGUAAAUCUAGCUUUAAGAUUGUUUAAUAAACUUUUCAAUAAAAACAAUUAUUUUUUAAAUCGA